rnacentral:lncRNA from 1 species
CGGAUUUGAACCCGGGUCGACUGGAUCGACUGGGAGCAGAAGUCAGGCCUUAACUUCUGCCAGCCGCCUGUAUGUAUGUAUGUAUAGGUGGUAUAUAGUGGUAUAUAGUGGUAUAUAGCCGCCUGUAUGUAUGUAUGUAUAGGUGGUAUAUAUAUUGCCAGGUGGUAAAACAAACUCGCAACAGUACGUGUUUCAAAACAAGACGUAAUGCGGUAACUGUAAGCCUCGAAGCAGGCGGCUUGUACGACGGCUCUCGGUGCGAGAGGCUGCAUUUUUACAUUACAUAUCAACAGCAUACAUCUCACGAUGCAAUGCGCAUCAAGUAAUCUUAUCGCUAAAGUAUUGGGUGAAAUUCUGUGUGGAGGAAAACGUAUUAGGUUUGUUGUAUAAUUUGUUUUUGGUGUUGGUUACUGUAAAAUAGAUGAUGGUGGUGUUGUCUUCCUGGCCGUGUAUGUAAAAGAUGCAUGUUCCUUGGGUGAUUGGGUUGUGCGUGUGGGGGGGAGAAGUAGCCGCGUAGGUAUCUACGUACAGGCAAAACACACACGGGAUCCAUUACCGUUUGAAGGUAGUUAUGUGGAUAGCCGCGUGGCAGCUGUCUUAUGGUGGCGGUUAUCAGGACGCUGGCGUCGGUACUGCUGGCUGCGUGUAUCGUGUAUGUAUUGCUACGACUGAUACUGCUGCAGUAGCAGCACGUGGAACGGACGUCGUCGCACUGAAACUGCGUUGGGCUGCGUUGGGGACAGUGACGGCGGACACGGAGUUGGUCAGCUCCGGUUCACAAACGCGCGCCCGCCACUGUGACUUCCCAUGCGGGUUGAACGGUAUUGGAUGAAAGGUAUCUUUGCCUUGACGCGACGCGCAAGUAUGGAACACAAAUAUAAUGAACACAAAUAUAAUAUAACUCAAAUCGGUUGACCGUUGGUUGGAGGUAUUAUUGCAAGCCCGCCGGAGCCACCCGGCUCCGUUUAGCGUACGAAGCCGUUGG